UGGACACAUUAUUAUAUUCGACUGUAUUCACGGCAUGAAAUAGGGGAUUACACUGUUUUUAAAACAGAAAGUGAAUCAAUUAACAUAAUAGACUCCU
rnacentral:pre_miRNA from 1 species